rnacentral:rRNA from 1 species
ACUGCUCAGUAACACGUGGAUAACCUGCCCUGCGGUGGGAAAUAACCCCGGGAAACUGGGGAUAAUGUCCCAUAGGCUGCGGAUGCUGGAAUGCUCUGUAGCUCAAAGAUUUAUCGCCACAGGAUGGGUCUGCGGCCGAUUAGGUAGUUGUUGGGGUAACGGCCCAACAAGCCUUUGAUCGGUACGGGUUGUGGGAGCAAGAGCCCGGAGAUGGAUUCUGAGACACGAAUCCAGGCCCUACGGGGCGCAGCAGGCGCGAAAACUUUACAAUGCGGGAAACCGUGAUAAGGGAACUCCGAGUGUCCGUAAAUGCGGACUGUCCGUAUGUUUAAAAAGCAUGCGAAGAAAGGGCCGGGCAAGACCGGUGCCAGCCGCCGCGGUAAUACCGGCGGCUCGAGUGGUGGCCACUAUUACUGGGCUUAAAGCGUUCGUAGCUGGGUUGUUAAGUCUCUUGGGAAAUCUACCGGCUUAACCGAUAGGCGUCCAAGGGAUACUGGCAAUCUAGGGACCGGGAGAGGUGAGGGGUACUUCAGGGGUAGGAGUGAAAUCCUGUAAUCCUUGGGGGACCACCUGUGGCGUAGGCGCCUCACCAGAACGGCUCCGACAGUGAGGGACGAAAGCUGGGGGAGCAAACCGGAUUAGAUACCCGGGUAGUCCCAGCCGUAAACGAUGCGCGUUAGGUGUAUCGAUGACCACGAGUCAUCGAGGUGCCGAAGGGAAACCGUGAAACGCGCCGCCUGGGAAGUACGGUCGCAAGGCUGAAACUUAAAGGAAUUGGCGGGGGAGCACCACAACAGGUGGAGCCUGCGGUUUAAUCGGACUCAACGCCGGAAAUCUCACCGGAUAAGACAGCUGAAUGA